GGUGACUCUAAGGUCUAUAUCCUCAACAGGCACCAAAAAAAUUUCUGCCGUAACAGAUGAUGUAAACUGGUGCCCAAAAAAUUGAGAACCACAUAGAAUAUGACGGUCCGACGGCGGGGAGGCCGAGAGGCGGAUCCGCCGGCAGGGAGGAGCUCGGUGGGAUGGCGAUGGUGACAGCGGAAUCCGGUGGCGGGGAAGUUGGGGGCCGGUUGCAAGAGCUCAGGGACAACGGCGGGGUGCUUGGGGGCGGCGGCGCGGCAGAGGUCGUCGAGGGGCGGGGCACCGCAUAGGUCGCCAAGGGGCGGGAUGGGGCAAUGGGGUGGCGGCUGGGUUCACGGUGGCUGGCGGAGUGGUGGCGGCGGGGGUUCACAGUGGUCGGCGGAGUGGUUGCGGCGGUGGCCGGAAUCGGCCGGUGCGGUGGGGUGAGGCGGCGGUGGAAGUUCACACUGGCGGUUGGGUUCCCAACACAGCCGUAAAAAAAAAUUAGAAAGACACUAGUGAUGCUGCAAAUAUGUAGGACUUGGAGCUAAAUUUGGGUUCCCCAAAAAAUAGUCAUCACCAAAUAGAGAUGCAUAUCUGUUGGAGCUGUUUUUUAACCCAAAUGCCUCAAACGGCAGUUUUUUGGGCACCGCAACUGUUUUACAUCAUCUGUUGGAGAUGCUCUUACUUGCCUACGCAUCCUUGUCCGAUUAGACGCAGGUGAAGACCUUGGUUGGUAGUCGGGGUUCGUCCACGUUGCAUCAUAGUAGGUCAUUCAUAAUUGGACGUGGAGAUGCAAUCCUACCUUAAGCUCAUGCCCUAGCCAAUCUCUUCAGUUUGUACUCCAGUUGAUCGCCAAAGGAAAGCCGGUGAUAUCUGAAUUGAGUGUGAAAAAGGAUUGGCUUGAACUAAAUUUCUGGCUUACGAUGGGUCAAUGAUCCUGAAACCUGCAUUGGCAUGGGAAAACUUUUUUUCCUUUCUGUCCAUGUGAGUGUUCAUUUUCUAGCAAAGUGGUUCUGAUUUCGUCGAUUUCCUUCCAUUUUGAUGAACUGUGCAGGGGGCUCAACUUGGAAAUGAUCGGGCUGAUUCCGCGUCGUCAGCAUCAACCUUGUCACCAGGGAGGCGAUCUGAGGUUUUGGACUGACGCCUGACGAUAGCCACUGUUCAGGAUAUCAAGCAGGAAUUCGGUGGGAGCUGGAGGGGGCGGCGGCCGGUGAAGUUGCUGUCAGGGUGCUGGUUCUUGGGAGAUGGAGUCGAGUUCGGCGGCACCUGGCAGGGGGUGAGACGGCGGUGCUUCGAGUUCGGUGGCUGUUGGUGCCUCGUGGAGGCCUAGAAGAUGAGGAAGACGCGCUGCUCGGUGGAGAGGAAGGGCGUAGCUGGAGCUGGAUUUCGUGGAGAAAAGGUGACGAUCGGUGGAGAGCACUUUUUUAUUUAGGGCUCGGAGCACUCAAAAAAUGCUAGACACACGGACUGCCCACUAAAAUUUACGGACUGGCUGGUCUGAAGCUCCGGAGCACUAGAGCAUGGCGUUUUCCCGCUCUGGCCGUGGAGGGGAAUCAAGACAACAACGCCCCUGGACUCCAUGGGCUUUGUGGGCUAUCCCACAUGUCAUUUAAUUUUACUGGGCACUCACGUAUGCUAUUUAGAUUUAAUUUCGUGGGUGGCAGGACAUGUUGAUGCCGCAACCACUUACAUUCUGAGGCGCUGUGAUUCGAGUAAUUUUGAUGUGGUGGUGUCUUUUAAAUUUUGGAGUGCCAGUCUGUUCUAUUCUCGUCACGGAACAAGAUUCGAUGGAGAUGGUUUGUAACAUCGAGGUAUAUCUUUUGUGCAGUUU